UACGUAGGACCCAAGCGUUAUCCGGAAUUACUGGGCGUAAAGAGUUGCGUAGGUGGCAUGUUAAGCGGGCAGUGAAAUCGUGUGGCUCAACCAUACAAACAUUGUCUGAACUGGCAAGCUAGAGUGCGAUAGAGGUAACUGGAAUUCCAAGUGUAGGAGUGAAAUCCGUAGAUAUUUGGAGGAACACCGAUGGCGUAGGCAGGUUACUGGAUCGCAACUGACACUGAGGCACGAAAGCGUGGGGAGCAAACGGG
rnacentral:rRNA from 1 species